AAAUUGUUUACAAAUGGCGGCGGGUAAUUUUCAAAAUCAUUUCUACUUUAUUCAAUAUACAGCACCAGUGCAGCCGAAUUGCCAAUAAACGGGCGAUAAUAGGAGUAUUUAUUGUGAUAAACAUGGGUUCCCGACGAAUUAAAGGAGACAUAAACCCAAGGCUAAUGGCAAAGCUGAAUGCAGAGAAUGCGCAACUGGAAGAAGAUAUAAGUCAACUAACUGAUGGUCUGAAUUACUUCGAGAAAGUUAAAAAUGCAGAACAGUCAAGUGUAAGAGGAUUAAUCAGGCGUGAAGUAGGAGGGAGUACGUGGGAACAUGGUGCUGAAGGCAAACUUAAUAACUAUAAAUCAAACAGAGACCUGAAGCUCAAGCAAUCAACAAAGCCACAAACACAUUAUUCUAAAGCAGGCAGUGUCAAGAGAAGCAAAGACAAUCAAACGCAUGAUAAAUAUAAUAUAUCUGGUGGAAAACUGAAGAGUAAACAUUCAAUACCAACUGGUGGGGAUCUGAAAACCGUAUCAGGGGGACAGCUUGAUUUAGCCCCAUCUGUAGAUAAAGUGGAUCUCAAGAAACCUGCACAGGUUAAAAAUAAAAGUUCAAGUGCUCUUAGAGCUGGCAAUAAAACAGAAGAAUCGAAGGAUGGAUAUUUUGUACCAAAAGAGCAAAGUCUUGGAUCUUUUAAUUUUGAUCCAACUUCUACUUUACAAAUUAACAUGAAAAAGAAGCCCAUAACAAAGAACAUUCCAAGUACAGAGCCUAUAGUCAUUCCACAAAGCGGUACUGUCAACAUUCCAAACAUUGAAAAUAUAUCCAUUCCGCCUUUAUUACUACAACCCUCUACAAAUCAUUGUGACCAGGAUAUAUCAUGUUGGUUGCAGACUUUACAUCUGAAAAACCCUGAAAAAUAUGAGGCAAUAUUCUCCCAACAUGAAUUAGAUUUAGAGAGUCUGAAACUUGUCACUGAAGAGCAGCUGAGAGAGAUGGGUGUUACUGCUAUUGGUGCUAUCAACAAACUUUUAUUUGCUAUAAAAGAGCUCAGAGGGGAAGACAUUGAAGAGGUGCUAACUGCAAGGAAUAUGGAAGAAAGGGGAUUGAUCUCAGGAAAUAAAGUCAAAGAAACCAAAACAAAAAUUUCGGAGAAUUCAUCUUCAAUAAAGGUAGAUCCAGUGUUCCAAAAAUCUGGAGGCAAUAAUAAAAUCUCUGCUCAAAAAUCUGGUGGAAACAGAACUUUGAAAGAUCACUCAACUAGACCAGGCUCUUCUAAAAGUGGGAUUAGAGGAAGUAGUGGUUUGCUGAAAGCUAAAGCAACAGGUGGAGGGGGUUUGUUAAAAGCAACAGGGGCAUCAAGAGCAAAAUCUGCUCCAGUUAAAAGAACAGCUAAGAGUGCUCCCCCCAAAUCUACUACCAGCAUACAGCAAAGUACCACUCUGCCAAGGGGUUCACUUCAAGUGACUGGAGAUGUUAUACAAUCGACAAAUAAGCCAGUUAGAAAGGAAAGAGAACAAGACGAUUCUACUAACAUAGCAGAUAUAAGCACAGAAUCUGUUCUACUGAAUUUAGAGGCCCAGGUACAAAGACUGCAGAGUGAAGAAGGGGCAGAGCAACAUAUGACUUCAGAAAUGAUUGACAGAUUGGAAGGUCAAUUAAAACAAGUUCAGCAGCAAAUCUCAGAGAAAAAACGAUUGAUGGGUAUGGGCAUGACAUCUUCUGAUGCUGAUGCUCCGGGGACAAUCCAGUCACUAGCGCCAUCUAAAAGUGGUGAUGGGGUCACUAAAAGUAGUAAAAAUUCUGUAGAAAACAGCAAAAAAUUUCAGAGUGUUUCUAUGUCAAUGAGUAAGAGACAAUUGGUGGACCAGGCAAGGAGGGACAAAGAUGAAAGCAGAAAACAUAUUCGGCACUUGGAGUCGGAACUGGAGAGAGUGAAAUAUAAGAACCCUGUUGGGAAGGUGGAACUGAACACAGAAGAUAUCAUUUUUACACAACAAGAUGAGUUAGGUGAGGGUGCUUUCUCAGUGGUGUAUAGAGGGAGCUACCAGGGGUCAGAGGUCGCCAUAAAGCAACUUAAAGUUCCGCUGACCUCCCAAGAUAAAAACUACUUUGCAGCUGAGGUUAGCCUCCUGAGAGAGCUGAGGCAUCCACGUGUUGUGUUACUGCUAGGUGUAUGUACCACUACAAAGCUACCCCUUAUGGUACUAGAAUACAUGUCUGGUGGAUCCCUCUAUAAUGUUCUACAUGACCAUACACAAGACCCCUUAGACCAUGUAGCAUUCUACCAGAUAGCUAGAGACAUAUCACUAGGCAUGAACUACCUUCACAAACACAAGCCAUGUGUCUUACACCUUGACCUCAAAUCUCUUAAUGUGCUAUUGGGGGCUCAAGGUAGAGCGAAAAUAGCAGAUUUUGGAUUCUCAAAAUUUAGGCAUGAUGCUAGUGUUCUGAAGCCUACAAAGUCAGCUGUGAAGCCAACCAAAGAGUCAGUAAGGGGCACUCCUGGUUAUAUGGCACCAGAAAUGUUGAGCGUUGGGGAUGUAACGCCAAAGUCUGAUGUCUACAGCUUUGGGAUUAUACUAUGGGAGAUGGUUACCAGGCAACAUCCUUAUAAGGGAUGCUCACUCUUCCAGAUCAUUGAGCGUGUCAGGAAAAACAAACGUCCAGACAUUCCAGCUAGCUGUCCUGGUCAAGUGGAGUCCCUAAUAAUAGCAUGUUGGCACCAAAGUCCAUCUAGGAGACCUAGCUUCCAGGCUAUUCUAGAGACACUAGAAAACAUGAGUUUUCCACAGUCUUGGCGAAAUCUCUUCAACACAGCAGGUGUUCCCCCACAGGCCUUGCAUAACAUGGAAUCUGCAAGGGACAUUAUCAACCUUGUUAAUACAACUCUGGAAGGUGUCCCAGAAUCCAACAGUGGAUCCUCUCUGGAUGGUAUCCCAGAAUCCAACAGUGGAGCCACUCUCCAUGGUAACCCAGGUUACAACAACAGACUGUUCUUGGAAACCUCAAAUAAUAUUGCAGGAAGCGAGUUUUCGGAUUCAUUGGGGCAAAGUAGACACAGUAAUGUUGAUGCUGCUCACAAAGACUCUAAGACAUAUCUUAAUGAAACAUCAAACUGCGAGAAGACUCCUGAGAAUAUGGUGAAUCGGUUAUAUGAGAAUGCCAUUGAAAUAUGCCGUAUUACAAACAAACUAAGCGACAAACCAUCAAAUCAAACACAAACAGUGCCCAAUAGGAAGAAAACCACUAACACCAAACCUGCUAGCUCAAAAAUGAGACAUAACUUGGAAAGCAGGACAAGCUCAGAGUUUGGGCAGCCAAGCUCCGAAUUCAGGCCAACUAGUUCAGAAUUAAGGCUUUCAUUGGAUGAUUCGGAUGAAACAUACAGUGUCCCAUCUGAUGUUUUAAAAAUCAGUCCAAGGAUGCAUUCUAUAUUGAGAUCUGUGGCACCCAACAUGGACAAAUAUUCAGUCGCCAAGGCUUCAUUGUUUUCUGCUGAAUCACAAACUAAUCCAACACAUUGCUCAAUUCAAUCUCCACAUUCCAUGAUCGAACCCCAUUUGGAGGAUGAAUUUCCUCAGAGUAUUUGUCAGCCCGUGCAAGGAGAGGGGGAUUUUUCUCUUACAGCUAAAUUAGAAGAUAAUUAUUAUAAUCCAUGGACAGUGUCUUCUGAUCCCUCUAGUGCUAGAUCUGUUCACAGUGAAGCUCAACUAAACUCAGCUAGAACUAGCAAAGCUGGAACAAUGCCUCCCAUGUCUGCAUGGGCUGAGGUGGAUAAUACUGGGCAAACCAGACCUCCCUUGUCUGUAGUUCCCAUACCACCUCCACUACCAAGUGCCACAGAGCUGAAAUUACAUUUGGAUAAAAUGCGAGAGAGAAAACGAUCACUCAGCUCUGAAAUGACCUUCGGGCAAGGUCAGCCAACAAGUCAAGGUCACCUUACAAGCCAAGGUCAAACCAGGCAUUCAAAACCUCCAAUGAAAAAUGAUGGUCCAGUUUGGCAUAUACCAAGAGAUGAUUUAAUCAAACAAAGAACUGUCUUAAAAUCGACAUCCUCCCCGCAUCCUAACCAACUGAGAGAUUUGAGUGAUGUCAGCCAAGAACAACUGGACAGCAUAGCUAGCAUACUGAGAAAGGCUGUUAGUGAGAGGAGAGAGGCUAUGAAGGAAGAUCCUCAAAGUGCAGAGUUCACAACUAGCGGCUGGUCCUUAACUGAUAUAUAAACAUUCUGAACUACAGCUGGUUCUUUACAUGUACACUACAGCUGGUUCUUUACAUGUACACUACAGCUGGUUCUAUACUGAUAGGGCCACAUGCUAUUACAUAUCAUGUUAUAUAUAAAUAGUUUAUUCUACAUUUUUCACUCUAGAGUUCCAAUUGUUGGUAUUUUGUUAGAUGUGAUAUUUUUCUGAAGUUGGAAUGGUGGUUCUACAAUUCGUUAUAUCAAUCUAAAAUGUUAUUAAGGGUUUUUCAGCUAUUUUAGAUGGUAUAAUUGAUGAGAAUGAAUUUCUACAAUAUACUGUUUUAGUGCCAUACAAUAAAUAUUUUAUUCCAAUAAACAAUAAAUUUUAGUAUAGUAAUAUUGUUCUGAUUUUAAAACAUCUAUUGGGCUUUUCUAAACUGUUAUGUUUUACAUUGUCAAUGUUUGUAUCAUUAUACAUUACAAAUUGGAUCUUUCCAAUGGUAUAUUUACAUCUUGUCUUGUAUUUGUAAAUCAUUGAUACGAUGCAGUUAAUUGCAGAGGCUUAAAUGUAUCAAUAUGUAACAUUCCAUGUUUUGUGUUAUUUAAUUUACAAUUAUGGGUAACUUACCAUAUUAUACAUUCAAUAAAAAUAAAUGUUAACCAAAAUGCAAAAUACACCGAUUUAUGUGUUAGAUUAGUUGAUAGUCUGGGGGUCAUUAAAAGAACUUUUGCAACUUUACGAAAGUUCUGUUAAUGACAUACUGACGAUAUUUCAUUC
rnacentral:misc_RNA from 1 species